rnacentral:misc_RNA from 1 species
AGACAUAGUAGUCAAGAAAACUCUCAAGGCAAGGGAAGGCGUUUGAUAUGGGGAAGAUUUACAUCUCAGAAUCAGAUGAUGAUGAUGGAGGUUUGGAUCUUAAAGUGAUUCUAGUUUUGAUCGCAUUAGCUUUCCUGUUGAUGUCUGUCUGCAUCCCUACAAGGCGGCCAAGGGCUUAUGCUGUGUAUCGCUGCUGUUAGAUACUAUCCCUACAAGCUUUCUCUCUGUUUCCUCUGUUUUCAUUAUGUCUUGCAUUUAACACAACUUUUCCCUCUUCUUUCUGAGGAGAAAGAAGAAUGUUGUGUAGUUGUUCUUGCGAAAAGUAGUCACAGAAAUGGAAUUAUCUUGUUUCUUGCUUUUCUAAUAAAAGACAUGGUACUAUGAUUCAUG